rnacentral:rRNA from 1 species
GGAAUCUUGCACAAUGGAGGAAACUCUGAUGCAGCGAUGCCGCGUGAGUGAAGAAGGCCUUUGGGUUGUAAAGCUCUUUUGUAGGGGAAGAUAAUGACUGUACCCUAAGAAUAAGGUCCGGCUAACUUCGUGCCAGCAGCCGCGGUAAUACGAAGGGACCUAGCGUAGUUCGGAAUUACUGGGCGUAAAGCGCGCGUAGGCCGUUGAGUUAGUUAAUUGUGAAAUCCCAAAGCUUAACUUUGGAACUGCAAUUAAAACUGCUCGACUAGAGUUUGAUAGAGGAAAGCGGAAUACAUAGUGUAGAGGUGAAAUUCGUAGAUAUUAUGUAGAACACCAGUUGCGAAGGCGGCUUUCUGGAUCAACACUGACGCUGAGGCGCGAAAGUAUGGGUAGCAAAGAGGAUUAGAUACCCUCGUAGUUCAUACCAUAAACGAUGAUUGCUAGAUGUUGGAAAUUUAUUUUCAGUAUCGCAGCUAACGCAUUAAGCAAUCCGCCUGGGGAGUACGACCGCAAGGUUAAAACUCAAAUGAAUUGACGG